rnacentral:rRNA from 1 species
AUAUUGCACAAUGGGGGAAACCCUGAUGCAGCGACGCCCCGUGAGUGAAGAAGUAUUUCGGUAUGUUAAGCUCUAUCAGCUGGGAAGAAAAUGACGGUACCUGACUAAGAAGCCCCGGCUAACUACGUUCCAGCCGCCGCGGUAAUACGUAGGGGGCAAGCGUUAUCCGGAUUUACUGGGUGUAAAGGGAGCGUAGGUGGCGUGUCAAAUCAGAUGUGGAAGACCGGGGCUCCACCCCGGGAUUGCAUUUGAAACUGGUUGGCGAGAGUGCAGGAGAGGGAAGUGGAAUUCCUAGGGGAGCGGUGAAAUGCGUAGAUAUUAGGAGGAAAAACAGUGGCGGAGGCGGCUUACUGGACUGUAACUGACACUGAGGCUCGAAAGCGUGGGGGGCAAACA